rnacentral:rRNA from 1 species
CCUACGGGAGGCAGCAGUGGGGAAUAUUGCACAAUGGGGGAAACCCUGAUGCAGCGACGCCGCGUGAGUGAAGAAGUAUUUCGGUAUGGAAAGCUCUAUCAGCAGGGAAGAAAAUGACGGUACCUGAUUAAGAAGCCCCGGCUAACGACGUGCCAGCAGCCGCGGGAAUACGUAGGGGGCAAGCGUUAUCCGGAUUUACUGGGUGUAAAGGGAGAGUAGACGGCAGCACAAGUCUGGAGUGAAAUGCCGGGGCUUAACCCCGGAACUGCUUUGGAAACUGAGCAGCUAGAGUGCAGGAGAGGUAAGUGGAAUUCCUAGUGUAGCGGUGAAAUGCGUAGAUAUUAGGCGGAACACCAGUGGCGAAGGCGGCUUACUGGACUGUAACUGACGUUGAGGCUCGAAAGCGUGGGGAGCAAACAGGAUUAGAUACCCGAGUAGUC